GUGCCGCGUAAAAAAUCCAAACUGGCUGAACCAUGAGUGACGGACGCCGUUGGGGGACCUGUAACUACAAACAAGGUGAUAUCGCCUUUCUGGUCCCUAUUGUGCUCUCUACACUGAUACACGAUUGGAAGGAAAAUGUUCAGACCAAGCUUCACAGGAAAAAGGAAAGCCUUCAUUGACAUGCAACCUGUUGGUACCAGUGGCUGAUUAUCUGCACCGUGUGAAAGAUGACAUCAAAUUUCCAUACACACUGAUGCUUGCUGAAAACAUUCAGUGCUUUCAAGUAUUUGUUGUCAUUCACUGAGAAGCACUUCAACAAAAUACAUUGCGGGGCACAGUGGACAUUUGUUUCAAAACGUUCUAUGUCUUAAAUAUUAAUUAGCCCAAACAGCAAAUUUGAGUGAAUU